AGUCUAAGGGUGUUAAACCUGGAGGCGAAGCGAAAGCGAUGGCUCGAGGCUCCCAGAGAGUCUCGGGUCUUGGGAAGAUGGCUGACCCCCGCCUACGGGCGGAAAAGGCAGUCCGCACUCCCGGGGCGCCUGCGGGGGGCCCUUUAGGGGGUCCGCAAAUCCCGCGGGUGCACCUUGAGCGCACACGUUUGGACCCGAAAGAUGGUGAACUAUGCCUGGCCAGGACGAAGUCAGGGGAAACCCUGAUGGAGGUCCGAAGCGAUUCUGACGUGCAAAUCGAUCGUCAGAGCUGGGUAUAGGGGCGAAAGACCAAUCGAACCAUCUAGUAGCUGGUUCCCUCCGAAGUUUCCCUCAGGAUAGCUGGAGCCCAUGGUCUGAGUCUCUUCUGAUAAAGCGAAUGAUUAGAGGAAUUGGGGUCGAAACGGCCUCAACCUAUUCUCAAACUUUAAAUGGGUGAGUUUUCGGAUUUCUCUUAUGAAUCCGGAGCACUCGGAUCCGGGCCUCUAGUGGGCCGCUUCUGGUAAGCAGAACUGGCGCUGUGGGAUGAA
rnacentral:rRNA from 1 species